CCAAUUUUAGGCCCAUUUUCUAAAUUUUCCUUUAGCCCAUUAAACCCAAUAUACUACAAAAAACCCUAGCACACAAGAAAAAGGACCCUAGUCUUAUUUUUCAACCAAGGAACAUAAGAGAAAAACCUAGAAAACCAUAGGAGCAGCCUUCUUCUUUAGAGAAUAAGACCUUCUUCCUCAAUACGCACUACAAGACAAACCCUAGCUAGACAAGAUGACCUAGAAAAAAUCACACUACCCAAAAACCUAAUACUUUCACCUUUCCAGCCGCAUACCACCUGAGAACAGCUACCGGCCAGAUCUCCACUCAGCACCGCCAGUAUGCUGCGCCUUCUUCUGCCGCCGCUACAAACCAAAACACGCCGAAAAGAGACCAUCUCCAUCGUCACUCUAUCCCAGCGAACCUGCCGUUCCUAGCCAACCAGCCAUUGUCACACUACAGCCCCUCUCUCGCCCUCACACCAAACACCCCCCCCCCCNN
rnacentral:lncRNA from 1 species